UGUUCUGGAGGCAGGUGAGGGGAGGGGGGAGGCAGUGACGGUUGGGGUCCCUGUGAGGAGAAGGUGGAUGCGGGUCCCCAGUGGAGGGAGCUGGUCGAUGUGACGGAGGGGAGGGACCCAGGGAGAUUUUCAUAGGCGUUGUUAGGAGGGUUGGACGGGUUCAUCCUGGCAGUUCCUUCCAUCCGUUUGUCUUCUGCAGCAUUGACCAUCCUGUUGGAACAUGAACAUGUUGGAAUAUGAUGUAUACACAUUUGUGAGGCCUCACCCAAACAUGAAGCCAGCAGUGUGAAAUGGAUGCCCUAGGAAUGCUUCUGCAAGUGAAUUCUUAGGAUGUACAUCAACAAGGGUGGAGGAGGCAACUCUUAAAGGGGUUCCCUGAUCUGCGCUUGCUGACCACACCCUAUAAUGCAAUACAUGUGCCCUAGCAAUCCCCAGGGUGUGCAGGAUUGGGAUGGAGAAGGCCUGCUUGCAGAGGAGUUCCUGAGGCGCGCAGGAUCAGGCCCCUGAAGCUGCAGAAAUUCCUGCCUGGAGCUGCUGAGGAGCGCAGGCAGCUCCAGGCUCCUUGUGCUCUCCUGCCAUAAAGCAAACAAACAUCUUAUGCAAAAAAUCUAUUGUCAUGUAUAGUUAUGGUGCAACUAGAAGCAUGGGCAUCUGUUUGCUUGGGUUUUGUACUGCCAUAAAACUUUUAAGGUGCUACAAAGGUGACAUCUGUUUCCAGCCAUACAGUCUUGGAGGACAUAUUCUUGUAAACUGAUUUAUUUGCAUUGAAUUUAAACCCUGGAAGAUGUUUGUUAUUUCUUGAUUUUGUAGUAUGGAGAACUGUCUUUAA